rnacentral:rRNA from 1 species
CACGAACGCUGGCGGCAGGCUUAACACAUGCAAGUCGAGCGCCCCGCAAGGGGAGCGGCAGACGGGUGAGUAACUCGUGGGAAUCUACCCAUCUCUACGGAAUAACGCAUGGAAACGUGUGCUAAUACCGUAUACGUCCUUCGGGAGAAAGAUUUAUCGGAGAUGGAUGAGCCCGCGUUGGAUUAGCUAGUUGGUGGGGUAAAGGCCUACCAAGGCGAUGAUCCAUAGCUGGUCUGAGAGGAUGAUCAGCCACACUGGGACUGAGACACGGCCCAGGCUCCUACGGGAGGCAGCAGUGGGGAAUAUUGGACAAUGGGCGCAAGCCUGAUCCAGCCAUGCCGCGUGAGUGAUGAAGGCCCUAGGGUUGUAAAGCUCUUUCACCGGUGAAGAUAAUGACGGUAACCGGAGAAGAAGCCCCGGCUAACUUCGUGCCAGCCGCCGCGGUAACAC